rnacentral:snoRNA from 1 species
CAUAUAUAUAUAUUAUUUUUGAGUAGGAAUCUCAUUCUGUCACCUAGGCCUAGAGUACAGUGGCAUAAU